rnacentral:pre_miRNA from 1 species
AAGCCUAUUCAUGAUCCUUUUGCAUCGUGCAUCGUGCAUCGUGCAUGGCCUUGGCGGGACGUACAGCAAGAUGUAUCGUGAAUAAGGCGC